UCUCCGUUGGUGAACCAGCGGAGGGAUCAUUACAGGACUCGCAAGACUCCCACAACCCUGUGAACUUAACUAUAAGCACGUUGCUUCGGCGGGUGUCUCGGAGGGGGUUCUCCCUCCCCGAGACGCUAAACCCGCCGGCAGCCUACUAUACUCUGUCUCUUUGCGUUGGCAUCUCGAGUACAAUCAAACAAGUUAAAACUUUCAACAACGGAUCUCUUGGUUCUG
rnacentral:misc_RNA from 1 species